rnacentral:rRNA from 1 species
UACGUAGGGUCCGAGCGUUGUCCGGAAUUACUGGGCGUAAAGCGCGCGCAGGCGGCUUCCCAAGCGCCACGUGAAAGCCCCGGGCUCAACCCGGGAGGGUCGCGGCGAACUGGGAGGCUAGAGUUUGGCAGAGGGGGGUAGAAUUCCACGUGUAGCAGUGAAAUGCGUAGAUAUGUGGAGGAACACCGAUGGCGAAGGCAGCCCCCUGGGUCAAAACUGACGCUCAUGCACGAAAGCGUGGGGAGCAAACAGG